AUGUGCCAAAAAUUGAAAUAAAAACAUUGUGUGAAUGAUCAUAUAAAAAUUGUAACGCCGGCACAAUCCCAGCCCCCACAAAUAUUUACCGAAAAUGCAAAGGAGGUGCAUUCAUCAACCCUAUUUCAGAUUUUAACAAUAACAAUUUUUCCUCGUUGCGCGUCACCUCCUUUUCUCAACAUGAACCGUUCGGAUUCUAUACCCAUACGGCGUGAUCGUUCCUUUGACAGCGUUCUCAAUCGCUUGCUAAGGAUGCGGUCACAGAAUCAUGAGAGCUUUCGGGCUGCCAUGUACAAUUUUCUAAUUGCAGCGGGCGUGGCUGCUUUUGUGGCGGUCUGCUUCAUCCUGGGCCCCUUUGUGCGUCCGCUGCUCUGGGCAUUCCUCAUGGGCGCCGUGCUGUUCCCAUUUAAGCGCAAGCUGGCCGAACUCCUCAACAAUUGGUUUCAGCGCCUGGAGGAGCGCGAUUCGAAUGUGAUCGUCUCCAUUUGCCUGGCUCCACUGGAGGCUACCGAGCAUUGCGGCCGUUUGCUAAUCAACUGGCUUUGCCAGCACUGGCAGCUCCUCAUAGCCGGCUGCGGCGUCGCCGUCUGCGUUAAGCUGCUCGUUUUGUAUGCGCCCAAAGGCUGUCUGUUGUUGCUCUGGAACUGGCUGACCUUUUCGCACGGCCUGUUUGUGCGCAUCAUUGGCUUCCUCAAUGUCUAUGUGCUCAUCGUUUUGAUUGCCAUGUACUUGUCCUCGGUGCACUUUCUCUGGAAACCGGAGAAUAGCGCACGUUUUGUUGUCGCCGGCCAGUCCAUGUGGAUAGCCAUUGCCGGCUAUUUGUGCAGCUUUCUGGGCGCGUUUCAGGUGCCUGUUUUCCUGCUGGUCAUGGGCUACGUGCUUGUCUCCACAGCGUAUCAUCUGCAGACGAGCGAUGAUCACGACUCCAGCUCCUAUUUGGAGCGCCUGCAGAAGCUGUUCAAUAAAAAUGAUUUCGAGAAAUCUCUCAGUAAUCUCAGCAUUUGUCGCCGAGCUGCUGGCGAACCGACACUGCAAUCAGAUGUGGAGGACAUUUCGUUGACUGACACCAUAGAUUCCGAGGACACAUUCGAUGCCAAGCUGGCUGAGGAGCCAGAGGUACACCAGAGCGAUACCUAUUUUAAGCUGUUAUUUUAUGCCUGCCUGGGCACCUUUCUGUAUCGGAACAUUUGGAUGUUUAUACUGGCUGCGGUGCCGGUGUUUCUGCAUUUAUUGUACACAGCCGGCACCUAUACGGGCCUGACACAGUUUGUCUGCGGCAAGCUCGACGAUGCCUAUCGGGGCGUGAGGUCGUGGGCCUUGGAGCAUCAUUCAGCUGUGCUGCCGCUGUGCCUGCCCGGCGUUUUGGAGCUCAACUACAAGAUCAACUGCAUUGUGCGGGAUUCGUUGAAGUCAUCUGUGGAGUCUGUUACAUCCAUUUUAAUGAUCAUACUCAUGCUGCUCAUCAUCAUAUUUCUGAGUGUUUUCUUUUGCGUUAACAUCUAUUCAGAGACGAUUGAGGUCGCUUAUCUGGGCAAAGAUCUAAUUAACAAGACAAUCACAGAUCGUCCUGAACUAAUUGAUAUAUUGCCCGCCAAUAUACAGGCGUCCAUUGAUGAUGCGCUCGAUAAUGCGCAUCAUUAUGGCCGCCGUAAGAUUGAGACCUAUAUAGAUGAUUGGCUCGCCGAUGCCGAUAAGGUGCAUGCCACCAAAUUGAAGGAGCAAAUUCUUGACGUGUGGGAUCGGCUCAUACAGUAUUGGAUUGACUUCAACAAGGCGGGCACCUCGUACGGGCCGCGUGUGCCCACGGAUGCGUUAAAGAGCACCUUCGGUGAGAUUGUCGAUAAUCCAGGACAUUUUAAAGAGCUAGUUUUAGUGGCAAAACAGGGCAUCAUCGGCUGGGCACAGAGCAAUACGCAGACCAUACUCGAGGUUGCCGAAUCUCUAUGGCACAUCAUACGCACGAAUCUCUCGAUGAUAAUGGGCGUUACGGGCGAGAUACUCUCGCUGCUGCUAUCCGGCGGACAGGCGUGCAUCGAAUUCAUAUUGGAUAUGAUUGUGUUCUUCACGGCCUUGUUCUAUCUGCUGUCCAGCAGUCAGGAGAAGUAUGCGCCCAUGCAGAUCACCAAAUAUAUGGGCUACUCUGCGUCGGGCAUUAAAGUCGCGGAUGCCUUGGAGAACUCAAUUACGGUUGUGCUCGUCUCCAUGUUCAAGUGCUCCACGUUUACGGGUCUCUUCACCUGGCUGGUGCAUACGGUGUUUGGCGCACGGAUUGUCUUCCUGCCCUCCGCUUUGGCCGCUUUGCUGGCGGCAGCUCCAUUUUUGGGCAGCUACUGGUGUGCGGUGCCUGCCUUUUUGGAGCUCUGGCUGGCACAGGAUCGCUUCUAUGCGGGAUUGAUACUGUUUCUCUUACAAUUCUUUGUGCCCUCGUCCUUUGAGACCGCCAUCUAUGCGGACAUUAAGGGCGGGGGUCAUCCCUACCUCAAUGGCCUGGCCAUAGCGGGCGGCAUGUACUGGAUUGGCUGGCAGGGCGCCAUCUUUGGCCCCCUCAUGCUCUGCUUCUUCAUUGGCCUCUUCGAAGUGGCCACCCUGGCCAUGCGUACGAACCAGGAGCCCAGGUAUGUUUGGAGCUAGUUUUUGCAUGCAAGUUAAGAAUUUUAUUUAUAUCGAAAACUCUGCGGCUGAAGAAUUUGAAGUCGGGCAAUCUUGACUAGAGCACUCCUAAUUGUUGUUUUUCCUUGUAUUAUAUUUACCCUACACGCAGCUCGGAUGAGGAGACGCGCAACACGUGAGUCGUCCGCAUGGCUUCAACGGAUCUUGCUCCACAACUGCGAAUUUCUUUCAAUACUCUAAGUGCAAAUCUAACAAGUUCCUGAACUUGUCUGCCCAACUAACUAACUAAUGAAUGUCAAGAAUUAGCCGAGCUAAGCAAAUUUUUCAGUUUUCGAGUUACUUUUCCUUUUUUUUAGUAUUUGAUUCGUCGCUUUUGUUUUUAUUUUUGUACUAAAUUUUUGAGUAUGCAAACAAUUGAUUCCGUCACUAAAAGCUGUGCAUUAAACCUAAUGUAUUUAACUAAUGAGUUCUUAGAUAAGUUUAUAUACCCUUGCUAAGCCUUUAUGUAACUUACAUUUGCUGUGGCAUAGGCGAAUAGUGUAUACACUACAUCACUUUAUUUAAUCUCUGAACAGGUCCAAUAAUCUCUUAAUGUCUCGCCAGUUAGUCUUAAAAAUAAUUCACUGUAUUUAUUAUACAUAUAUAAAGGGAGCAUAAACAAUAAUUGUCUAUAAGCGCUUGCCAAGGGUAUAUAAGCUUCGUUGAGAGCGUUCUUAGCUUUCUAGUUUUAGUAAUUAUAUCACAAAACUCUUUUUUUUGUUUUGUAUAAAGAGGCAGUUAUUUUAAGCCUGGCUCUAAAAACCGUCAACCGGUUUCCUCAUGCUCGUUCGUCGUACCUAACUUUGUGCUCGCUACACAUGUGAUUUGUUUAAGCUUAUGUUAAAAACUUUAUUGCAAAUAAAUGUCAUUACAUACUAACAAAUACAGAACAUUACAGUGCUCGCUCGCUAAUUGGAACCGAAGUGCAAAAAACUUUAAAAAUUGCAAAUAACAGCUUAAAGUGGCAUAUAAAAAACUGCAGAAAUAUAAAAACUUUUUUUCUAAUUAAUACUAAUUUUAAAUUCGAGACGUUUUUAUGUCUAAACAAUUCUAUUUAACGAGUGAGCGCUGUAUUAGAGCCCGGUUAAUUGUCCAAUUCUCAUUUUAGUCCAAAACUUGAUUCAUUAAACGACAACAACGAGAAAUUCCCUUUUGAUGGGAAUAAAGUCGAAAAGGCAACCGAAAGCAACAAGAAUGUUGCCGCCACGCCCAGUUGCAGGGAAAAGCGUGCGGGAAAACCUGUUGUGAUGAAAAUUAUAACCAGAAUGUUGCAGCCGUUGGACGCGCUGAAAAGCAGUUAAAAAAUUUGGAAUUUCGUUUUUUAUUGUAUGCAAAAUAACGGCACUUUUGAUGUUUUAAUAUAAAUGUUGGUACUUUCUUUUAA